AAGAUAUUCAGCAUAGUGCACGCCUAUGCUGGCAUAAUGGAAAAAUAAUCAAAGCAAUAAAAAUUCAGAUUAAAAAAAAUGUUUACACAGCCAAUAGUGAAAAUAAUAUUUUUAAGCCUGAAUGCUAACUCAACAAGAAGGCUUCUACUCAAUCACCUGAUGCUCCUAAGGAAAUUUAGGUCUCAUCAUACUAUAGUGAUAUAUACCAUAUAUAUACCAUAUAAAAAUAGAAAAUAGGGCUGUAAAUAGACCUUUGGAGGUCAAGUUGUCCGCUGCUUUGCCUGAAGGCAGGAUCAAUGAUUCCUCACAGAUGUUUGUCUAAACCAGUCUCCAUGAAAUGAGUACUAGCAACUUUUUUUAUCUCAUCAGUUCUUAACUCUAGCAAUUGCCUGGAAGUCAAUAAGAUGACUACUCGUGUCUAGCCCAAGCUCCUUUCAUCACUAUGUGUUUUCUCAUGUGUUUCCUUAAUAUGAAUGUGACAUUUGCCUCCUUCCAGCAGUGGCAUUUAAGCUUAGGAACUAUGACUCCUCACUUUACUAAUCAGUAAAUAAAAAUCUUAUUGUAGGUGCUAAGGAAUGCAUAAACACUCUAGCUAUAGGAGAAAAGGACAUUCAGAUGUAGGGAAGGUUAUGAUCUUAUGUCAGUGUGCUCCAAAACCACCUGAGUACCUGAGGCAAACAAUUGAAUAUUUGGUCAAACUACUGCCAUAUUCUUCCUUCAAGUCACUAUGCUAUGAAGAGGCAUGCACCGUGCAUAGAACAGAGCCAUCUGUACCCUUUCAGAUUGAACUGACAGCUGUGAAACAAGGAUGUCACAUUCCACCAAGUGGCUAUUCCACCAAAUGGAAUAGCCAGUCAGACAUUCACCAGAGUGCUGUAAUAGGAUCCCAAAGUUGUUUGUAAGCCAGAAGGAUACCAGUGUGAUUCUGCAAGAGGGCAAGAUCAGCUGUGGGCACAAUUUAGAAAUGGCAUUGGAGUGGUAGGAGUUGAGAAAGGUUGUACUCCUUUGUCCUGUAAUCUAUGAUGUGACAUAUGGAAUGCCAAGAAUAGACUGUCUGCAGUCCACUUUGUAAAUCUGGUUCAUAGGCACAAAUUUUCUCUGAGUUGGGAAGGAAUCUUGGAAAGGAUCACUUCUACAGUUCCAUCAUUGAAUUCAUCAUCAUUGUCCCAGAGAAGCAGCGAUCAGUGAGAUGUGGCUCAUGGGCUAGGCAUUGGCAAGUUUGCUUUUGGUAGAAGAUCGACUAGUGUGUGUGUGUGUUACGGUUACACUUUGUAAAUAAUUACAGAUAUGAUAAGUUUUAUAUAGAUUAUAAAAAUGAUCUAUUGUAUUCACAUUUUAUGAAGAAUAAAAAAGAUGUAUGAAGAUUUUUUUUUUUAUGC
rnacentral:lncRNA from 1 species